CAUGGUGACAUCUUCAAUUUCUUUCAGAUGAAAAAUAAGUCAGACAGUUACUGGGUUGUUGGUUUAGACGAAAAGAAUCAGCAAAUAAGGUGUAUUUACUGCAAGGGAUCCAGCCACCCACCAACAUUGCCACGCCCUGUUCUUGUUCUCUUACCGUUGCAGCAGCCCAUGUGUGAAAUGGCCACAGAGAAAGGCCAACUAGAGGAAGCCUACGUUCGCUCGCAACUUCUUUUUGGAGAUUAUGAAGA